GACGAACGCUAGCUACAGGCUUAACACAUGCAAGUCGAGGGGAAACGGCAUUGAGUGCUUGCACUCUUUGGACGUCGACCGGCGCACGGGUGAGUAACGCGUAUCCAACCUUCCCAUGACUAAGGGAUAACCUGCCGAAAGGCAGACUAAUACCCUAUGGUCUUCACUGACGGCAUCAGAUGUGAAGUAAAGAUUUAUCGGUUAUGGAUGGGGAUGCGUCUGAUUAGUUAGUUGGCGGGGUAACGGCCCACCAAGGCAACGAUCAGUAGGGGUUCUGAGAGGAAGGUCCCCCACAUUGGAACUGAGACACGGUCCAAACUCCUACGGGAGGCAGCAGUGAGGAAUAUUGGUCAAUGGGCGAGAGCCUGAACCAGCCAAGUAGCGUGCAGGACGACGGCCCUAUGGGUUGUAAACUGCUUUUGUAUGGGGAUAAAGUCAAUCACGUGUGAUUGUUUGCAGGUACCAUACGAAUAAGGACCGGCUAAUUCCGUGCCAGCAGCCGCGGUAAUACGGAAGGUCCGGGCGUUAUCCGGAUUUAUUGGGUUUAAAGGGAGCGUAGGCUGGAGAUUAAGUGUGUUGUGAAAUGUAGACGCUCAACGUCUGACUUGCAGCGCAUACUGGUUUCCUUGAGUACGCACAACGUUGGCGGAAUUCGUCGUGUAGCGGUGAAAUGCUUAGAUAUGACGAAGAACUCCGAUUGCGAAGGCAGCUGACGGGAGCGCAACUGACGCUGAAGCUCGAAGGUGCGGGUAUCGAACAGG
rnacentral:rRNA from 1 species